UAAGAAACGAGCUAUUAGCUAGCUAGCUAAAGGCUAGAGCUAGAGAUAUAUGGCAGCUGAGUGCUCCUCCAAGAGUCACUGCUACAUUCUAAAGAAGACAACACAAGGAGAGAAAGACGUGACAGCUGGUCUCAACAGCGACAACAGUAACGACAAUGGCUACCACAAGAUCCUGAGUCUAAUGGGCAUAGAGAGGACCAAUGUGGAGGUGUCUAGAGGAGAGUUUGUGAAGCCUGUUCCAACUGCCAGCACUCCCUACACUCAAGCACACAAGUACCACAUCAUGAGGGACCCUACCAUCUCCUUCUCCUGUCCUCAAUCCAACGUUGCUGCUCUAACACUGCAAGAAUACGAGUUUCUAAACAGAUCCGAGGUUGUACCAGAAAGAUGAUUUACUCUCUACGAAUACAUUCUCAAGGAGCCAGAGUUACUCGAAGCUAGCAAGAGAUAUAACGUUAGCCAACCACCACCUCGGAAGAGGCCGGCCUCAUUUGCACCCAAAGUUGGAUCGACAGUGGUUGUAUCAGACUAUGGUCCGUACGCGUCUAGUUACUAUGGUGUUGUGAGGUGGAUUGGUCAGUUUGACGGACAAGAGGAGCAAAUGGCUGGAAUUGAGCUGACCUGCGCUACACUCUGGUGGUGGUGGUCAUGUUCCUGGCCUCCUCUCUCCUCUGUCCUGUCCUCUGGUACCUCUGGAUCCAUGCAGACAGUGCUAACGCUAACUUCUUCUUUGCCAUGACUCUCACCUACUCACUAGCUCAGAUCUUCCUGGUGGCUGAUGUGAUCUACUCGUUACUGGUCCACCAGUACGACCUCAAACACGGUCUACCAAGACUGUACCAACUGGGCAAACCAGUCUAACUGAAACUAUAUUGAGAGCUAGCUAGAAAUUCAUGAGUAUCCACAUUCUGUGAUUUUUGAAAUAUUUAUGGGUCAUAAAAGUG